rnacentral:rRNA from 1 species
UACGUAGGGUGCAAGCGUUAAUCGGAAUUACUGGGCGUAAAGCGUGCGCAGGCGGCUUUGCAAGACAGAUGUGAAAUCCCCGGGCUUAACCUGGGAACUGCAUUUUUGUGACUGCAUGGCUGGAGUGCGGCAGAGGGAUGGAAUUCCGCGUGUAGCAGUGAAAUGCGUAGAAUAUCAGGAGGAACACCUGUGGUGUAGACGGCUCUCUGGACCGCAACUGACGCUGAGACACGAAAGCGUGGGGUAGCAAACAGG